GAUGAACGCUGGCGGCGUGCUUAACACAUGCAAGUCGAACGGAAAGGCUCCUGCUUGCAGGGGUACUCGAGUGGCGAACGGGUGAGUAACACGUGGGUGAUCUGCCCUGCACUUCGGGAUAAGCCUGGGAAACUGGGUCUAAUACCGGAUAGGACCACAUUUUGGAUGGUGUGGUGGAAAGUUUUUCGGUGUGGGAUGAGCUCGCGGCCUAUCAGCUUGUUGGUGGGGUAAUGGCCUACCAAGGCGUCGACGGGUAGCCGGCCUGAGAGGGUGUACGGCCACAUUGGGACUGAGAUACGGCCCAGACUCCUACGGGAGGCAGCAGUGGGGAAUAUCGCACAAUGGGCGCAAGCCUGAUGCAGCGACGCCGCGUGGGGGAUGACGGCCUUCGGGUUGUAAACUCCUUUCGCUAGGGACGAAGCGCAAGUGACGGUACCUGGAGAAGAAGCACCGGCUAACUACGUG
rnacentral:rRNA from 1 species